rnacentral:rRNA from 1 species
UACGUAGGGUGCGAGCGUUGUCCGGAAUUAUUGGGCGUAAAGAGCUUGUAGGCGGUUUGUCGCGUCUGCUGUGAAAAUCCGGGGCUCAACCCCGGACUUGCAGUGGGUACGGGCAGACUAGAGUGUGGUAGGGGAGACUGGAAUUCCUGGUGUAGCGGUGAAAUGCGCAGAUAUCAGGAGGAACACCGGUGGCGAAGGCGGGUCUCCGGGCCGUUACUGACGCUGAGGAGCGAAAGCGUGGGGAGCGAACAGG